rnacentral:rRNA from 1 species
UACGUAGGGUGCAAGCGUUAAUCGGAAUUACUGGGCGUAAAGCGUGCGCAGGCGGUUUGGUAAGACAGAUGUGAAAUCCCCGGGCUCAACCUGGGAAUUGCAUUUGUGACUGCCCGGCUAGAGUGUGUCAGAGGGGGGUAGAAUUCCACGUGUAGCAGUGAAAUGCGUAGAUAUGUGGAGGAAUACCGAUGGCGAAGGCAGCCCCCUGGGAUAACACUGACGCUCAUGCACGAAAGCGUGGGGAGCAAACAGGAUUGA